rnacentral:tRNA from 1 species
GGGCCUGAGGUGUUACAUAACGGAUUGCAAACCCGGAGAAGUGGGCUAACGCCCACCAGGCCUU